UACGUAGGGACCGAGCGUUGUCCGGAAUCAUUGGGCGUAAAGAGCGUGUAGGCGGCCUUUUAAGUCCUGCGUGAAAUCCUGCGGCUCAACCGCAGACGGUCGUGGGAAACUGGAAGGCUAGAGUGCGGGAGAGGAGAGUGGAAUUCCCGGUGUAGCGGUGAAAUGCGUAGAUAUCGGGAAGAACACCCGUGGCUAAGGCGGCUCUCUAGUACGGUACUGACGCUGAGACGCGAAAGCGUGGGGAGCGAACAGG
rnacentral:rRNA from 1 species